AGUGAACGCUGGCGGUAGGCCUAACACAUGCAAGUCGAACGGCAGCACAGUAAGAGCUUGCUCUUACGGGUGGCGAGUGGCGGACGGGUGAGGAAUACAUCGGAAUCUACUUUUUCGUGGGGGAUAACGUAGGGAAACUUACGCUCAUACCGCAUACGACCUACGGGUGAAAGCAGUGGAUCUUCGGACCUUGCGCGAUUGAAUGAGCCGAUGUCGGAUUAGCUAGUUGGCGGGGUAAAGGCCCACCAAGGCGACGAUCCGUAGCUGGUCUGAGAGGAUGAUCAGCCACACUGGAACUGAGACACGGUCCAGACUCCUAAGGGAGGCAGCAGUGGGGAAUAUUGGACAAUGGGCGCAAGCCUGAUCCAGCCAUACCGCGUGGGUGAAGAAGGCCUUCGGGUUGUAAAGCCCCUUUGUUGGGAAAGAAAAGCAGCAGGUUAAUACCCCGCUGUUCUGACGGUACCCAAAGAAUAAGCACCGGCUAACUUCGUG
rnacentral:rRNA from 1 species